UACGAAGGUGGCAAGCGUUGUUCGGAAUCACUGGGCUUAAAGGGCGCGUAGGCGGCCUGUUAAGUCGAACGUGAAAUCCCUGGGCUCAACCCAGGAACUGCGUCCGAUACUGGCAGGCUUGAAUCCGGGAGGAGGGAUGCGGAAUUCCAGGUGUAGCGGUGAAAUGCGUAGAUAUCUGGAGGAACACCGGUGGCGAAGGCGGCAUCCUGGACCGGCAUUGACGCUGAGGAGCGAAAGCCAGGGGAGCAAACGGG
rnacentral:rRNA from 1 species